rnacentral:rRNA from 1 species
UGCAAGUCGAGCGGAUGAAGGGAGCUCUGCUCCUGGAUUCAGCGGCGGACGGGUGAGUAAUGCCUAGGAAUCUGCCUGGUAGUGGGGGACAACGUUUCGAAAGGAACGCUAAUACCGCAUACGUCCUACGGGAGAAAGCAGGGGACCUUCGGGCCUUGCGCUAUCAGAUGAGCCUAGGUCGGAUUAGCUAGUUGGUGAGGUAAUGGCUCACCAAGGCGACGAUCCGUAACUGGUCUGAGAGGAUGAUCAGUCACACUGGAACUGAGACACGGUCCAGACUCCUACGGGAGGCAGCAGUGGGGAAUAUUGGACAAUGGGCGAAAGCCUGAUCCAGCCAUGCCGCGUGUGUGAAGAAGGUCUUCGGAUUGUAAAGCACUUUAAGUUGGGAGGAAGGGUUGUAGAUUAAUACUCUGCAAUUUUGACGUUACCGACAGAAUAAGCACCGGCUAACUCUGUGCCAGCAGCCGCGGUAAUACAGAGGGUGCAAGCGUUAAUCGGAAUUACUGGGCGUAAAGCGCGCGUAGGUGGUUUGUUAAGUUGGAUGUGAAAUCCCCGGGCUCAACCUGGGAACUGCAUCCAAAACUGGCAAGCUAGAGUAUGGUAGAGGGUGGUGGAAUUUCCUGUGUAGCGGUGAAAUGCGUAGAUAUAGGAAGGAACACCAGUGGCGAAGGCGACCACCUGGACUGAUACUGACACUGAGGUGCGAAAGCGUGGGGAGCAAACAGGAUUAGAUACCCUGGUAGUCCACGCCGUAAACGAUGUCAACUAGCCGUUGGGAGCCUUGAGCUCUUAGUGGCGCAGCUAACGCAUUAAGUUGACCGCCUGGGGGAGUACGGCCGCAAGGUUAAAACUCAAAUGAAUUGACGGGGGCCCGCACAAGCGGUGGAGCAUGUGGGUUUAAUUUCGAAGCACGCGAAGAACCUUUACCAGGCCUUUGACAUCCUAAUGACUUUCCAGAGAUUGGAUGUUGCUUCGGGAGCAUUGAGACCAGUGCCUGCCAUGCCUGUCGUCAGCUC